CUGUAGCCGCGGUAAUACAGAGGGUGCGAGCGUUAAUCGGAUUUACUGGGCGUAAAGCGUGCGUAGGCGGCUUCUUAAGUCGGAUGUGAAAUCCCUGAGCUUAACUUAGGAAUUGCAUUCGAUACUGGGAAGCUAGAGUAUGGGAGAGGAUGGUAGAAUUCCAGGUGUAGCGGUGAAAUGCGUAGAGAUCUGGAGGAAUACCGAUGGCGAAGGCAGCCAUCUGGCCUAAUACUGACGCUGAGGUACGAAAGCAUGGGGAGCAAACAGGAUUAGAUACCCCCGUAGUCCCUGUCUCUUAUAC
rnacentral:rRNA from 1 species